rnacentral:rRNA from 1 species
CCUACGGGUGGCUGCAGUGAGGGAUAUUGGUCAAUGGGGGAAACCCUGAACCAGCAACGCCGCGUGAGGGAAGACGGUUUUCGGAUUGUAAACCUCUGUUCUCUGUGAAGAAAAUGCCGGUAUCUAACUAUUCAGCACCGUCUAACCCCGGGCCAGCAGCCGCGGUAAUACGGAGGGUGCAAGCGUUACUCGGAAUCACUGGGCGUAAAGAGCGCGUAGGCGGGAUAGCAAGUCAGAUGUGAAAUCCUAUGGCUUAACCAUAGAACUGCAUUUGAAACUGUUAGUCUAGAGUGUGGGAGAGGUAGGCGGAAUUCUUGGUGUAGGGGUAAAAUCCGUAGAGAUCAAGCAGAAUACUGAUUGCGAAGGCGACCUGCUAGAACAUAACUGACGCUGAUGCGCGAAAGCGUGGGGAGCAAACAGGAUUAGAUACCCCUGUAGUC